rnacentral:lncRNA from 1 species
CAACUCUGCUUUGCAAUGACUUCACAGCAAGGUUACCAAGAAGCAGAUGGGCUGUGAAGGAGACAAACCCCCUUGUCUAAACACAAAUAGCAUUGAUAAUUAAUUAGCUGAAGCAGCAGGGGAAAUUAUGAAAAUGUGUGAAAGGGCUCUAAUAACAAACCUACAGUCACACACAGACUGGGUGACUUCCUCACAGUUCCACAGGAUACAAGUCGAAGACAAAGGUCUGGUUCCUUCUGGGGCCUCUCUCCUGGACUUGCGGCCGGUUACCUUCUCCCUGUGUCUUCACAUGGUUUUCCCUUUGGGCAUACAUGUUCUUGGUGUUUCCUUGUGUGUCCUAACUUCCUUUUCUUAGGAGGAUACCAGUCAGAUUGGAUUAGGACCCCCCUAACAGCCUCCUUUCCACUUAGUCGCCUCUCAUGACAGUCAUGUUCUGAAGUACCUGGAGUUAAGACUUCAAUGUAG